CAGCCUUGAACACUUGCUUUUCUUGCUGAAUAGCAACCCAAGUGGGACAAUAUUUUUGUUAUCAAACUUUCAAAGAAAGUUAAAUAGCAGCCAGGAUGGAAAAUUACUGUGGCUGAAGCCCACUGUCUCAUGACCAUAUAAACAGUGGUGCAAAGUGAGAGCCUUGGGGCUCUCCUGGACUGCAGCAGGCUGAGAACAGCCCCUCUCUCUGAGUGGGGCCUCUCAGAGCAAAAGAGCUCUCAACGUGGCUGUUCCUGCAGGACCAUCCCCAAACCACGGCACAGAGCCUGGGCUGAUACCCCCACUCCUGGGGGCUCAACCCUGAGGAGAUGCAAAGACAUCCCAUGUGAACUCAAGGGAAUUUUCACAGGAGUCACACCUUUCCUAAAGGAAAAGAGAGCACUCUGGCACCAGCUGCCUUGCACAAAAAGACAGUGCUCAUGUGAAGAGUGGUUUGGGAUGCACUGCCAUGCACAUAUUGCCCAGACCAAGAAAACAAAAGCACUGGUAAGAAUGAAGCCUUAAAGGAAAAACUCCUGCC
rnacentral:lncRNA from 1 species